CGCAAUGGGCGAAAGUCUGACGGAGCGAUACAGCGUGAUGGAUGAAGUGGUUCGCCACGUAAACAUCUUUUAUGAGGGACGAAAUUAUUGACGGUACCUCAUGAAUAAGGGGCUCCUAACUCUGUGCCAGCAGGAGCGGUAAUACAGAGGCCCCAAGCGUUAUCCGGAAUUAUUGGGCGUAAAGGGUGUCAAGGCGGUCAUGUUAGUCGUGUGUAAAAUCCGGGGGCUCAACCUCCGGCCCGCACGCGAAACGGCAUGACUAGAGGUUGGAAGAGGUGCGUGGAACUCACGGUGUAGGGGUGAAAUCCGUUGAUAUCGUGGGGAACGCCAAAGGCGAAGGCAGCGCACUGGUCCAAGUCUGACGUUCUCACACGAAAGCCA
rnacentral:rRNA from 1 species